ACAGUUGGGGGCGUCAGUAUUCUGAAGCGAGAGGUGAAAUUCUUGGACCUUCGGAAGACUAACAACUGCGAAAGCAUUCGCCUAGGAUGUUCUCUUUAAUCAAGAACGAAAGUUGGGGGAUCGAAGACGAUCAGAUACCGUCGUAGUCUCAACUAUAAACUAUGCCAGCUAGGGAUUGGUGGACGUUUAUCUACGACUCCAUCAGCACCUUAUGAGAAAUCAAAGCAUUUGGGUUCCGGGGGGAGUAUGGUCGCAAGGCUGAAACUUAAAGGAAUUGACGGGAGGGCACCACCAGGAGUGGAGCCUGUGGCUUAAUUUGACUCAACACGGGAAAACUUACCAGGUCCGGACAUAGUAAGGAUUGACAGAUUGAUAGCUCUU
rnacentral:rRNA from 1 species